rnacentral:rRNA from 1 species
CACGUAGGGGACGAGCGUUGUCCGGAAUCAUUGGGCGUAAAGCGCGCGCAGGCGGUCCUUUAAGUCUGAUGUGAAAGCCCACGGCUCAACCGUGGAGGGUCAUUGGAAACUGGGGGACUUGAGUACAGAAGAGAAGAGUGGAAUUCCACGUGUAGCGGUGAAAUGCGUAGAGAUGUGGAGGAACACCAGUGGCGAAGGCGACUCUUUGGUCUGUAACUGACGCUGAGGCGCGAAAGCGUGGGGAGCAAACAGG